GACGAACGCUGGCGGCGUGCUUAACACAUGCAAGUCGAACGGAAAGGCCCUGCUUUUGUGGUGUGCUCGAGUGGCGAACGGGUGAGUAACACGUGAGUAACCUGCCCUUGACUUUGGGAUAACUUCAGGAAACUGGGGCUAAUACCGGAUAGGAGCUCCUGCUGCAUGGUGGGGGUUGGAAAGUUUCGGCGGUUGGGGAUGGACUCGCGGCUUAUCGGCUUGUUGGUGGGGUAGUGGCUUACCAAGGCUUUGACGGGUCGCCGGCCUGAGAGGGUGACCGGCCACAUUGGGACUGAGAUACGGCCCAGACUCCUACGGGAGGCAGCAGUGGGGAAUAUUGCACAAUGGGCGGAAGCCUGAUGCAGCAACGCCGCGUGCGGGAUGACGGCCUUCGGGUUGUAAACCGCUUUCGCCUGUGACGAAGCGUGAGUGACGGUAAUGGGUAAAGAAGCACCGGCUAACUACGUG
rnacentral:rRNA from 1 species